rnacentral:misc_RNA from 1 species
GGAUCAUAAUACUUGUUGAAUAAGGAAAAGUAGUCUCCUUAAUAAUCUUUGUAACUUAGUUAUUUUCUAAGGCUUUUGACAACAGAAAUUUGAGUAAUUUAAUUUAGAUGGAAGGUGUGUAUUCUUAGUUUUCCAUUUCUUCUUUUUCUCUCUUCUUCCCUUUUUUUCCCUCUGUUGAUACAGUACCUCAGAUAUUAUUCUCAGUGCUCCCAAGCGUAACCAAUUUCUCCAUUUUGCUUACUCUAAUCAACUAUGGUUCAAUCAUUACUCAUUACAAUGAUGCAAAAUUAG